UUGCUGGGUAGAAACUAUUCUCACAUGAAGACACUGGGUUGGAGUACUAGUUACUGAGAAAAUGCUUUUCUGCAAACCCGAGACGGCAGGACACCAGACGGGAGGGACAAGACAGGAGGAGACAGAACAGCCGUGCAGCAACGUCUCUUCAUUCUGGUGUUGCUCCAUCUGUGUGGAAAUCACACAGCAAAACUGUCAACCCCAAUAGGGCCUGUUUAGUUGAUGCAGAACCAUGAUGGCUGAUGCCUUGAAGGCAAACUAAUUAUCAGGGAACCAGCUGGGAAACUGGCCCUGGGAUACAAGCAAGAAGCAUGCAACCAUAUGUUAGAUAUUUCCAAGGAAGGUGUUUGUGUGCACAUUUAAAAGAGAAACAACGGGAGGAUUUGUCAUUCAAAGUGAGGAGCCACUGGACAUCCCAAAACCCAGCACCAGGGAGAGCAACACUG